AGCAGUAGCCGCGGGAAUACGGAGGAUCCAAGCGUUAUCCGGAAUCAUUGGGUUUAAAGGGUCCGUAGGCGGUCUUGUAAGUCAGUGGUGAAAGCCCAUCGCUCAACGGUGGAACGGCCAUUGAUACUGCAGGACUUGAAUUAUUGGGAAGUAACUAGAAUAUGUAGUGUAGCGGUGAAAUGCUUAGAGAUUACAUGGAAUACCAAUUGCGAAGGCAGGUUACUACCAAUUGAUUGACGCUGAUGGACGAAAGCGUGGGUAGCGAACAGGAUUAGAUACCCCGGUAGUCCCUGUCUCUUAUAC
rnacentral:rRNA from 1 species